GAAUAUUGCGCAAUGGGCGAAAGCCUGACGCAGCCACGCCGCGUGAGCGAUGAAGGCCUUCGGGUCGUAAAGCUCUGUGGGGAGAGACGAAGAAAGCCUGUGAAGAGCAGGCCUUGACGGUAUCUCCUUAGCAAGCACCGGCUAACUCCGUGCCAGCAGCCGCGGUAAUACGGAGGGUGCAAACGUUGCUCGGAAUCAUUGGGCGUAAAGCGCACGUAGGCGGCGAAGCAAGUUGGGUGUGAAAGCCCUGGGCUCAACCCAGGAAGUGCAUUCAAAACUGCUUCGCUUGAAUCUCGGAGGGGGUCAGAGAAUUCCCGGUGUAGAGGUGAAAUUCGUAGAUAUCGGGAGGAAUACCAGUGGCGAAGGCGCUGACCUGGACGAAGAUUGACGCUGAGGUGCGAAAGCGCGGGGAGCAAACAG
rnacentral:rRNA from 1 species